CACGUAGGGGGCGAGCGUUGUCCGGAUUUAUUGGGCGUAAAGAGCUCGUAGGUGGUUCGGUAAGUCGGGUGUGAAAACUCUGGGCUCAACUCAGAGACGCCACCUGAUACUGUCGUGACUAGAGUCCAGUAGGGGAGCGUGGAAUUCCUGGUGUAGCGGUGAAAUGCGCAGAUAUCAGGAGGAACACCAGCGGCGAAGGCGGCGCUCUGGGCUAUAACUGACGCUCAUGCACGAAAGCGUGGGGAGCAAACAGG
rnacentral:rRNA from 1 species